rnacentral:rRNA from 1 species
UACGUAGGGGGCGAGCGUUGUCCGGAAUUACUGGGCGUAAAGGGCGCGUAGGCGGCAUAUUAAGUUAGAUGUGAAAUUCCCGGGCUUAACCUGGGCGUUGCAUUUAAGACUGAUAAGCUUGAGUGCAGGAGAGGAAAGCGGAAUUCCUAGUGUAGCGGUGAAAUGCGUAGAUAUUAGGAGGAACAUCAGUGGCGAAGGCGGCUUUCUGGACUGUAACUGACGCUGAGGCGCGAAAGCGUGGGUAG